GACGAACGCUGGCGGCGUGCUUAAUACAUGCAAGUCGAACGGUGAAGAGCCUUCCUUUUUGGUGGGUGUGGAGGAGUGGAGAAGGGGUGAGUAACACGUGAGUCUCCUGCCCACUUGUGCUGGAUAACCGCAUGCAAGUGUGGCUAAUACGGGAUAUUCUGGGUCUGUCGCCUGAUGGGUCUGGGAAAGAUUUUGUUUCGGAGGGGGAUGGGCUCGCUGCCUAUCAGCUGGUUGGUGGGGUGUUGGCCUACCACGGCGGGGACGGGUGGCCGGCCUGGGAGAGUGGACGGUCACGCUGUGAGUGAGACACGGCACAGACUCCUGCGGGAGGCAGAGGGGGUGAAUAUUGCACGAUGCGCGCAAGCCCGAUGCAGCGACGCCGCGUGAGGGAGGGAGGCCGUCGGGUUGUGAACCUCGUUCGCCAGGGAAGGGGGCCUGCGUCGAAAGUGGGUGGGGUGACGGUAGCUGGAUAAGAAGCGCCGGCUAACUACGUG
rnacentral:rRNA from 1 species